rnacentral:rRNA from 1 species
CCUACGGGUGGCUGCAGUGGGGAAUAUUGGACAAUGGGGGCAACCCUGAUCCAGCCAUGCCGCGUGAGUGAUGAGGGCCUUAGGGUUGUAAAGCUCUUUCGCUAGGGAAGAUAAUGACGGUACCUAGAGAAGAAGCCCCGGCUCACUUCGUGCCAGCAGCCGCGGUAAUACGAAGGGGGCUAGCGUUGUUCGGAAUUACUGGGCGUAAAGCGCACGUAGGCGGACAUUUAAGUCAGGGGUGAAAUCCCAGGGCUAAACCCUGGAACUGCCUUUGAUACUGGGUGUCUUGAGUACUAGAGAGGGGAGUGGAAUUCCGAGUGUAGAGGUGAAAUUCGUAGAUAUUCGGAAGAACACCAGUGGCGAAGGCGGCUCACUGGCUCGUAACUGACGCUGAGGCACGAAAGCGUGGGGAGCGAACAGGAUUAGAUACCCCGGUAGUC